AACACUGUUAACCUGCGGUACCUGCGGAAGGAUCAUUAUUACGUAUCCACGUAUAAACCAAUCGUGAACUGUAUUCCGCUCAUUGUCGGAGUUAAUGGUUGGGCUACGUCAGGUUCCAUGUUAGUGAGGAACUGUAGUCCUAUCUCCACAUUUUUCUUUGUGGGACUCUGGCUCUGAGGCCGGUUAACACACUAACACUUUCAAAUUCUAUAAACCUUUUGUACUCAACUUCGAACUAAC
rnacentral:misc_RNA from 1 species